CCUACGGGAGGCAGCAGUGAGGAAUAUUGGUCAAUGGGCGCAAGCCUGAACCAGCCAAGUAGCGUGAAGGAUGACGGCCCUAUGGGUUGUAAACUUCUUUUAUAAGGGAAUAAAGUGCGGCACGUGUGCCUUUUUGUAUGUACUUUAUGAAUAAGGAUCGGCUAACUCCGUGCCAGCAGCCGCGGUAAUACGGAGGAUCCGAGCGUUAUCCGGAUUUAUUGGGUUGAAAGGGUGCGUAGGUGGGGUGUUAAGUCAGCUGUGAAAGUGUGCGGCUUAACCGUAGAAUUGCCGUUGAUACUGGCAGCCUUGAGUACAUUUGAGGUAGGCGGAAUUCGUGGUGUAGCGGUGAAAUGCUUAGAUAUCACGCAGAACUCCGAUUGCGAAGGCAGCCUACUAAGCUGCGACUGACGCUGAUGCUCGAAAGCGUGGGUAUCAAACAGGAUUAGAUACCCGAGUAGUC
rnacentral:rRNA from 1 species